UUAUGGCAAGAAGGUUGAAGAAAACAUACAAUUAUAUUUUCUCAGCUCAAUCAACCCACAAUUUACAAGAGCUAUCAGUAUGAAUCAGUGUUUACCUUUGUUUAUCAAUAUGUUUAUUAAUGUAUACGGUAUCAGUUAUUUACAAGAACCACUUCAAUAGAUAGGCAUUUCCUUCUCAAAGUCCUUAUUACACUAAAGUGUAUAGCUUAUAUUGAUAAAAAUGAAAAUUUUCAAGUGAAAAGGAAAAUUUUUCCUUUUUGUUAUAGAAAAUGCAGUGAAUUUUCAGAUGAGCGGCGUUUCAAUACACUUUAUUGUGUGAUAUAGGCCUAUUAGUGCAGCGAAACUAACCUGGUUUGUUGAUUUUUUUCUUUUUAGCUGGGAGUAAAAAUGAUGUAGUUUACUGGUUUAUCUGUAAUAUUGGUUUUCUAUGGAAUUCAAGAGGAGACUUGGGCGAUGCCAGAUGUUUCUAGAGAAUACCACAGCGUAUCAUCAUCUCACAAUUCAGCAGACAGGGAAAUUCCCAGCAUAUAUGAGAUCCUUAGCAACAUGUCAAAUAAUCUAUCCACCAUAGACAAGGAGAUUAAAGAGUUGCAACAACACCAACAUUACUUGGGGUUGCAAUCAACCAAGCACUCUAUUGAUAGUCAUUCAUCUAGAAUCUCCAAACUGUUGUCUACUGUGACAAUGAACGACAAUUUCUGUAAUGCAAUGACCGAAGAACUAAAAAACGCAACGAUUCAUUCAUUUGAAAAAAUUUCAGAGAUUGGAUACUUCUCUAGAGAGAUUAUUGUUGGCAUUAUUCAAUGCCACCAUCAGACCCAUUAUCAUGCAUAGUAGAACUGAGCCAGCAUACACAAUCGUAUAUGGAUAAAAUUUGGAGAAGUUUUAGUGAAUUGUCGGAUUGGUCGAAUGAAUUUCCGAAGCUGAUUAGUUUUGAAACAUUCUACUGCUUGUUUCAAAAUUAAUACCUGAAGAACCAAGCCUUGCUCAAGAGUGAGAAGGCACAGAGAUCGAAAUUUAAAAAUAAAUAAGAAUAUAGGUAAUAAGCAUAAAGUUUCUCUUGCCUUCUCGCAGCUCGCGUGGAUAUAUACUUACUAUACUUGAAAUUUCAUCAAAAUAAUCAUUAGAGCAGUUUCCAAUAUAUGUAAGAUAUAAACAGAAACAUGCCUACAAAACAGCAAUUUAUUGCUUAAUAGAAUAGGUUAUAGAUUUGGAUAAUGUCAAUGAGAUUGCGCAAACCUAUCUAAAAUGUAAUUUUGAUUAAUAGGUUCCAAGGUUGCACAGUUGUGAAUAAAAUGUUAUGUUAGUCGAG